AUGCCACCUCCCGGAGCAAAGGGGGCUGUAGAUCUUCGCCAACGGUGGGGGCGGGGGGGUAAGCAUCCCGUCCAUCACAGGCGGCCUAACCGGUCCCCAGCUUUGCAGGGGAAGAGAAGGGCAGGCUGCCCGCCCUGGGCCGCCCGGCCACCCGCGCAUGCGCGGAGCUGGCGCCGCCACCAAACAUCUUCUAGACGCUCAUCAGUGGCGUCCCGAUCCUGUCCUUUUAUCUCCGGUUGUGCCUCGUGCUGCAUCCAAAGCAGUUUCGGAAUCUGUAGGCUGCUGGAGGACGAUGGGGUUGGAAAGAAACGAGUUUUCAGGUGGCAGUGACCGAUGUUUAGUCUCACUUAUUUUCUCUGAUGACUCAACACAGUAAAUAAGACGGUCUGUUUGGAAAAGCCCUGCAGUAAAUCAUCCUGAAAAAGUAAAAGCUUAUUUAUUGAUUUGAUAACUUUUCUGUUUUACUCUUCUAGCUUUAUAUUUUGUAAUAAAGCGUCUUUAAAAUGUAGCA
rnacentral:lncRNA from 1 species